CGAUCUGGCUCAGGAUGAACGCUAGCUACAGGCUUAACACAUGCAAGUCGAGGGGCAGCAUGAUCGAAGCUGCUUGAUUGAUGGCGACCGGCGCACGGGUGAGUAACGCGUAUCCAACCUUCCCUAUAGUAGAGAAUAGCCCGGCGAAAGUCGGAUUAAUGCUCUAUGUUGUAUUUAGAGGACAUCUGAAGAAUACCAAAGGUUUACCGCUAUAGGAUGGGGAUGCGUCUGAUUAGGUUGUUGGCGGGGUAACGGCCCACCAAGCCCACGAUCAGUAGGGGUUCUGAGAGGAAGGUCCCCCACAUUGGAACUGAGACACGGUCCAAACUCCUACGGGAGGCAGCAGUGAGGAAUAUUGGUCAAUGGACGCAAGUCUGAACCAGCCAAGUAAGCGUGCAGGAUGACGGCCCUAUGGGUUGUAAACUGCUUUUAUACAGGGAUAAAGUGAGGGACGUGUCCCUUUUUGUAGGUACUGUAUGAAUAAGGACCGGCUAAUUCCGUGCCAGCCGCCGC
rnacentral:rRNA from 1 species